rnacentral:rRNA from 1 species
GAUGAACGCUGGCGGCGUGCCUAAUACAUGCAAGUCGAGCGAACAGACGAGGAGCUUGCUCCUCUGACGUUAGCGGCGGACGGGUGAGUAACACGUGGAUAACCUACCUAUAAGACUGGGAUAACUUCGGGAAACCGGAGCUAAUACCGGAUAAUAUAUUGAACCGCAUGGUUCAAUAGUGAAAGACGGUUUUGCUGUCACUUAUAGAUGGAUCCGCGCCGCAUUAGCUAGUUGGUAAGGUAACGGCUUACCAAGGCAACGAUGCGUAGCCGACCUGAGAGGGUGAUCGGCCACACUGGAACGGAGACACGGUCCAGACUCCUACGGGAGGCAGCAGUAGGGAAUCUUCAGCAAUGGGCGAAAGCUUGACGGAGCAACGCCGCGUGAGUGAUGAAGGUCUUCGGAUCGUAAAACUCUGUUAUUAGGGAAGAACAAAUGUGUAAGUAACUAUGCACGUCUUGACGGUACCUAAUCAGAAAGCCACGGCUAACUACGUG